rnacentral:rRNA from 1 species
CCUACGGGGGGCAGCAGUGGGGAAUCUUGCGCAAUGGGGGCAACCCUGACGCAGCGACACAGCGUGGAGGAAGAAGGUCUUCGGAUUGUAAACUCCUUUUAUAUGGGACGAAUAGAUGACGGUACCAUAUGAAUAAGCACCUGCUAACUACGUGCCAGAAGCAUCGGUAAUGCGUAGGGUGCAAACGUUAUCCGGAUUUAUUGGGCGUAUAGAGAUGCGUAGGCGUUUUUGUAAGUCCUUAGUUAAAGACCACGGCUCAACCGUGGGAAAGCUUCGGAUACUGCAAAAAUUGAGACAGGAAGGGGCGAACAGAAUUCCCAGUGGAGCGGUGAAAUGCGUUGAUAUUGGGAGGAAUAUCAGUGGCGAAGGCGGUUCGCUGGUCCUUGUCUGACGCUGAGGCUCGAAAGCGUGGGUAGCGAACCGGAUUAGAUACCCCGGUAGUC